GACGAACGCUGGCGGCGUGCUUAACACAUGCAAGUCGAACGGAAAGGCCCUUCGGGGUACUCGAGUGGCGAACGGGUGAGUAACACGUGGGUGAUCUGCCCUGCACUUUGGGAUAAGCCUGGGAAACUGGGUCUAAUACCGGAUAGGACUACGGCCUGCAUGGGUUGUGGUGGAAAGCUUUUGCGGUGUGGGAUGGGCCCGCGGCCUAUCAGCUUGUUGGUGAGGUUAUGGCUUACCAAGACGACGACGGGUAGCCGGCCUGAGAGGGUGACCGGCCACACUGGGACUGAGAUACGGCCCAGACUCCUGCGGGAGGCAGCAGUGGGGAAUAUUGCACAAUGGGCGCAAGCCUGAUGCAGCGACGCCGCGUGAGGGAUGACGGCCUUCGGGUUGUAAACCUCUUUCAGUAGGGACGAAGCGCAAGUGACGGUACCUAUAGAAGAAGGACCGGCCAACUACGUGCCAGCAGCCGCGGUAACAC
rnacentral:rRNA from 1 species